rnacentral:rRNA from 1 species
GGCGAACGCUGGCGGCAGGCCUAACACAUGCAAGUCGAACGAAGUCUUCGGACUUAGUGGCGGACGGGUGAGUAACACGUGGGAACGUGCCUUUAGGUUCGGAAUAACUCAGGGAAACUUGUGCUAAUACCGAAUGUGCCCUUCGGGGGAAAGAUUUAUCGCCUUUAGAGCGGCCCGCGUCUGAUUAGCUAGUUGGUGAGGUAACGGCUCACCAAGGCGACGAUCAGUAGCUGGUCUGAGAGGAUGACCAGCCACACUGGGACUGAGACACGGCCCAGACUCCUACGGGAGGCAGCAGUGGGGAAUCUUGCGCAAUGGGCGAAAGCUUGACGCAGCCAUGCCGCGUGAAUGAUGAAGGUCUUAGGAUUGUAAAAUUCUUUCACCGGGGACGAUAAUGACGGUACCCGGAGAAGAAGCCCCGGCUAACUUCGUGCCAGCCGCCGCGGUAAUAC